GCCAUGGUUCUAUUUAGAACCAUUGAAAAGUAAAACUAAAAGUCCCU
rfam:Mus musculus chromosome 1, GRC primary reference assembly.